GUUACCGUCGUUACGCGACGUUCAUUUGUCGCGCGACAUUCGAUUGAGUCGUUUCUCGUCGAAUUCCGGUAUACGUCUGAAAUUUAGAAUUCAAUCCCGUGAAAUAUUGAUACCCCGUGUGGUUGAUAACAGUGAUAAUUAUCACGAUACGUAGGAUAAGUUGAGGAUACUGAGAAGUGGGGCUCAGUGAAUAUUUUAGGUGUUUUCUUUCAGUUACGAACUUAUCCGCGCUCACUUGUUUCUCUCGACUUUUUUCGAAUAGUACGUUGAUGUUUUUUUCGAACGAGUGAUGCUGUGAGCUUCCCGACGAUAAUCGCGAAAUUACGAUGCAAUCGUCGUCGUAAACUUUCUACUGGGAAAAGAUGAGAUUACCCCGAAGGUGUUUUCUACAGUAGUGUGUUGUGCUGUGGUGAAAUCAAGUGCCGGUGAUAAUCGAAUUCUUCCAAACGCCUUCAGUUUUCGAGGACCAAAUAGAGUGAUGGCUGCCUGGAUGCAUUUUUGAGUACUUGCUUGAUUUUAAAAGUGCCGUCACUUGAUUCGAGAUCGUCACGCUGUCUUAGGACUGCUGACGACAGGAUUGGCAACACUGUUUCUCGUAAAGAGGCACUCGGCACAUAUUCAUUGCUUUUACUUUACCGCAGAACUGCGAAAGAUCCUUACAGUGAUCUGAAACAUCGAAAUGAUCUACCGUUGCAGCCCUGACCUAUAAGGAGCCGACUGCGCUAGUCCUCGGAAAAAAGGAGCGUAACCAUCGAGCUAAAGUUUCCCGUCUUUCCCCAGGAGGAGUUUCGAUGGAAGCAGGAUAUAGUGUUUUCACCCCGGAGCCAGCCAAGCCUCUGCCCACCGACUUGAGAGAGGAUGAGGAUACUAUGGAACGACGAAACAAGUUUUGGUACUAUUUUCGCCAAAGACAAACCUAUCAGCCACUCGUUUUAUGGAGGAUAAGGACAUCAGAAUACAUAGUGCACGGUGAACGUACGCACAACGACGCUGGACGCUGUGGCUCGGAAAACUAGUGAUCUUCGGUGAAAUUGUGUAAGAUCUGUAUGUAUGUAUGUAUGUAUGUAUACAAUUAUGUGUGUGUGUUUCGUUUAUUAUGCCUAGUACAUACAUGGCCGAGAGACCAUGAGUUGUACAAAACAAUUCGUAGAGUGAAAAAUAGUAUAUAUUAUGAAAAUGAAAUACAACACAACAUGAAAACGAAAUAAAAGAUAGUACCAACAUGUUUGCAUGAUAGAGUGCAGAUUUACAUGUAGUGCGGAUAUGCGUAUAAUAUAUACUGAUAAUUGUGAAUGAUUUUGAUAUUGUUACUGUAAUUUGUAAAAUAACUUUGUUGAUUACAGUAUUUAAUGAGUAACGCAGAUGUACACUACUUUUUUUCUCGAGUAACUUUCU